AUUGAACGCUGGCGGCAGGCCUAACACAUGCAAGUCGAACGAGUGGCGGACGGGUGAGUAAUGUAUGGGAAACUGCCCGAUGGCGGGGGAUAACUACUGGAAACGGUAGCUAAUACCGCAUACUAUCAGAUGUGCCGAUAUGGGAUUAGCUAGUUGGUGGGGUAACGGCUCACCAAGGCGACGAUCCCUAGCUGGUCUGAGAGGAUGACCAGCCACACUGGAACUGGGACACGGUCCAGACUCCUACGGGAGGCAGCAGUGGGGAAUAUUGGACAAUGGGCGCAAGCCUGAUGCAGCCAUGCCGCGUGUAUGAUGAAGGCCUUCGGGUUGUAAAGUACUUUCGGCGGGGAAGCGUUACCCGCAGAAUAAGCACCGGCUAACUCCGUGCCAGCAGCCGCGGUAAUUC
rnacentral:rRNA from 1 species